ensembl:snoRNA
UGCUUCAGUGCCCUGUUGACCUGCCUGUGUCUGUCCAGGGCUCCCGGGAGCCAGGGGAGACGCUGCCUCGGAAGCUGAAGCG